GACGAAGGUGGCGAGCGUUACUCGGAAUUACUAGGCGUAAAGCGCACGUAGGCGGAUUUGUAAGUCAGGGGUGAAAUCCCGAGGCUCAACCUCGGAACUGCCUUUGAUACUGCAAAUCUCGAGUCCGGAAGAGGUGAGUGGAAUUCCUAGUGUAGAGGUGAAAUUCGUAGAUAUUAGGAAGAACACCAGUGGCGAAGGCGGCUCACUGGUCCGGUACUGACGCUGAGGUGCGAAAGCGUGGGGAGCAAACAGG
rnacentral:rRNA from 1 species